rnacentral:rRNA from 1 species
UACGGAGGGUGCAAGCGUUGUUCGGAAUUAUUGGGCGUAAAGGGCAGGUAGGUGGUCUUGAAAGUCUGCUGUGAAAUCCCCGAGCUUAACUUGGGAAGUGCGGCAGAUACUCCAAGACUAGAGUACUGGAGGGGUUCGUGGAAUUCCCGGUGUAGUGGUGAAAUGCGUAGAUAUCGGGAGGAACACCAGUGGCGAAGGCGACUACCUGGCCUGUCCUUGACGCUGAGGCGCGAAAGCUAGGGGAGCAAACGGG